AGUGAACGCUGGCGGUAGGCCUAACACAUGCAAGUCGAACGGCAGCACAGUAAGAGCUUGCUCUUACGGGUGGCGAGUGGCGGACGGGUGAGGAAUACAUCGGAAUCUACUUUUUCGUGGGGGAUAACGUAGGGAAACUUACGCUAAUACCGCAUACGACCUACGGGUGAAAGCAUGGGAUCUUCGGACCUUGCGCGAUUGAAUGAGCCGAUGUCGGAUUAGCUAGUUGGCGGGGUAAAGGCCCACCAAGGCGACGAUCCGUAGCUGGUCUGAGAGGAUGAUCAGCCACACUGGAACUGAGACACGGUCCACACUCCUACGGGAGGCAGCAGUGGGGAAUAUUGGACAAUGGGCGCAAGCCUGAUCCAGCCAUGCCGCGUGGGUGAAGAAGGCCUUCGGGUUGUAAAGCCCUUUUGUUGGGAAAGAAAAGCAGCAGGUUAAUACCCCGCUGUUCUGACGGUACCCAAAGAAUAAGCACCGGCUAACUUCGUG
rnacentral:rRNA from 1 species